rnacentral:rRNA from 1 species
GAUGAACGCCAGCGGCAGGCUUAAUACAUGCAAGUCGAGGGACAGCACAGGUAGCAAUACUGGGUGGUAACCGGCAAACGGGUGCGGAACACGUACACAACCUUCCUUUAAGUGGGGGAUAGCCCAGAGAAAUUUGGAUUAAUACCCCGUAAUAUAGUUGAAUGGCAUCAUUUGAUUAUUAUAGCUACGGCGCUUAAUGAUGGGUGUGCGGCUGAUUAGAUAGUUGGCGGGAUAACGGCCCACCAAGUCUACGAUCAGUAGCUGAUGUGAGAGCAUGAUCAGCCACACGGGCACUGAGACACGGGCCCGACUCCUACGGGAGACAGCAGUAAGGAAUAUUGGUCAAUGGACGCAAGUCUGAACCAGCCAUGCCGCGUGAAGGAUUAAGGUCCUCUGGAUUGUAAACUUCUUUUAUUUGGGACGAAAAAGGGCCUUUCUAGGUCAACUGACGGUACCAGAUGAAUAAGCACCGGCUAACUCCGUGCCAGCCGCCGCGGUAAUAC